AAAAAGAGUGUGUAGCAGUGCCCCAUUUUCCACUCACUCCUACUCUGGCCAUGCGAUGCGUGUGCUUCUCCUUCACCUUCUACCAUGACUGGAAGCUUUCUGAGGCCUCCUCAGAAGCCAAGCAGAUGCCAGCAUCUGUAUUGCCUGCAGAAUCAUGUGGCAAUUAAACCUCUUUUCUUUAUAAAUUACCCAGUCUCAGGUAUUUCUUUACAGCAGUGCGAGAACAGAUGAAUACAGAGGAUCUCUGGAGCCCAGGAGUUCGAGCCCAGGAGUAAGCCGUGGUCACACCACUGUACUCCAGCCUAGGCAACAGAUUCUGUUCUCAUCUUGAUAAGAAUAACCAGUCAGGUGGCCAGGCACAGUGGCUCACGCCUGUAAUCUCAUCACUUUGGGAGGCCAAGGUGGGUGGAUCACUUGAGGCCAUGAGUUCAAGACCAGCCUGGCCAACAUAGCAAAACCCCAUCCCUACUAAAAUGCAAAAGUUAGCUGGCACAGUGGUGCAUGCCUGUAGUUCAAGCUACUCAGGAGGCUGAGGUGGGGGGAUGGCUUGAGCCCAGGAGGCAGAGCAAUCACACCACUGCACGGCAGCCUGGGCAACCGAGCUAGACCCUGUCUUAAGAAAAGAAAAGAAAAAAAAAGAAUAACCAGUCAGGGCACUAUAAUCUCACAUGGGUAACUGACCUGUAGCCAACCCCGCUAUUUGGAGUGAAGUUCAGGUCCAGACACAAGCACUUACAUACUUGAUGUCAGACAUCCAAGGCAGGCGGUAGACGUGGGAUGCUCAGGAGGAUACGCCCCAUGUGGCAUCUGAUCAAGUCUGGCUUAGGUGUAAGGACAACGUUCAGGACAAAAACUAUGCCUUUCCCAUUUUACCAUUGAAGAUGUCUUAGACAACCAAUAAAGUGGACGGUGUAGGACCACAGCCCUGCACAGCGACGUUCUUGCAUCACUCGGCUCAACCACAGGAAGUCUCACACCACUGAGUCUGACCACAGGAACGGGCAAAUGAAAAGUCAUGCAGCUAUAUGGGCAAUGGAACUUCCCUGCCUCCAGUUCCUGGCCAGGAAGUGGGGGCUGGGUGGAGAAAUCUGGAAGCUGCCUGCUUACCUACCAGGUCUCCACUCUGUUUUGCUAUGAAGCCUCUAAGCCUUGAUACCUGUUAAUGGAUGUAUUUGUUGUGAGAAAUAAAUGAGAUGGUGGGG
rnacentral:lncRNA from 1 species